rnacentral:rRNA from 1 species
AUUGAACGCUGGCGGCAUGCUUUACACAUGCAAGUCGAACGGUAACAGGCCGCACGGUGCUGACGAGUGGCGAACGGGUGAGUAAUGCAUCGGAACGUGCCCAGUCGUGGGGGAUAACGCAGCGAAAGCUGCGCUAAUACCGCAUCCGAUCUAGGGAUGAAAGCGGGGGACCGCAAGGCAUCGCGCGAUCGGAGCGGCCGAUGUCAGAUUAGGUAGUUGGUGGGGUAAACGCCCACCAAGCCAACGAUCUGUAGCUGGUCUGAGAGGACGACCAGCCACACUGGGACUGAGACACGGCCCAGACUCUUACGGGAGGGAGCAGUGGGGAAUUUUGGAAAAUGGGCGCAAGCCUGAUCCAGCAAUGCCGCGUGCAGGAAGAAGGCCUUCGGGUUGUAAACUGCUUUUGUACGGAGCGAAAAGGCCCUCUCUAAUACAGGGGGUUUAUGACGGUACCGUAAGAAUAAGCACCGGCUAACUACGUGCCAGCCGCCGCAGUAACAC